GACAGAGGCCCCAAGCGUUAUCCGGAAUUAUUGGGCGUAAAGCGUCCGCAGGCGGAAUGAUGCGUCUGUUGUUAAAUCCAUGGGCUCAACCCAUGGGCUGCAAUAGAUACGGUCAUUCUAGAGGCAGGGAGAGGUAAGCGGAACUUCUGGUGGAGCGGUGAAAUGCGUUGAUAUCAGAGGGAACACCAAUUGCGAAGGCAGCUUACUGGUCCUGUCCUGACGCUCAGGGACGACAGCGUAGGGAGAGAACGGG
rnacentral:misc_RNA from 1 species